AGCCUUAUAUUCAACAAUGAUUUUAAAUUGCAAAUUUAAAGGUGGGAUUCCCUAAGGCUU
rnacentral:tRNA from 1 species